rnacentral:rRNA from 1 species
GACGAACGCUGGCGGCGUGCCUAAUACAUGCAAGUAGAACGCUGAAGGAGGAGCUUGCUUCUCCGGAUGAGUUGCGAACGGGUGAGUAUCGCGUAGGUAACCUGCCUGGUAGCGGGGGAUAACUAUUGGAAACGAUAGCUAAUACCGCAUAACAGUAGAUGUUGCAUGACAUUUGCUUAAAAGGUGCAAUUGCAUCACUACCAGAUGGACCUGCGUUGUAUUAGCUAGUUGGUGAGGUAACGGCUCACCAAGGCGACGAUACAUAGCCGACCUGAGAGGGGGGUCGGCCACACUUGGACUGAGACACGGCCCAGACUCCUACGGGAGGCAGCAGUAGGGAAUCUUCGGCAAUGGACGGAAGUCUGACCGAGCAACGCCGCGUGGGUGAAGAAGGUUUUCGGAUCGUAAAGCUCUGUUGUAAGAGAAGAACGAGUGUGAGAGUGGAAAGUUCACACUGUGACGGUAUCUUACCAGAAAGGGACGGCUAACUACGUG